rnacentral:rRNA from 1 species
UACGUAGGGGGCUAGCGUUGUCCGGAAUCAUUGGGCGUAAAGCGCGUGUAGGCGGUCCGGUAAGUCCGCUGUGAAAGUCGAGGGCUCAACCCUCGAAUGCCGGUGGAUACUGCCGGGCUGGAGUCCGGAAGAGGCGAGUGGAAUUCCUGGUGUAGCGGUGGAAUGCGCAGAUAUCAGGAGGAACACCAAUAGCGAAGGCAGCUCGCUGGGACGGUACUGACGCUGAGGCGCGAAAGCGUGGGGAGCGAACAGG